UACGUAGGGGGCAAGCGUUGUCCGGAUUUAUUGGGCGUAAAGAGCGUGUAGGCGGCCAUGUAGGUCCGUUGUGAAAACUCGAGGCUCAACCUCGAGACGCCGAUGGAAACCAUGUGGCUAGAGUCCGGAAGAGGAGAGUGGAAUUCCUGGUGUAGCGGUGAAAUGCGCAGAUAUCAGGAGGAACACCGGUGGCGAAGGCGGUUCUCUGGGCCUGUACUGACGCUGAGGAACGAAAGCGUGGGGAGCGAACAGG
rnacentral:rRNA from 1 species